rnacentral:lncRNA from 1 species
GCCUUGGUGCUAUUCCAUCAGGUAAAGAUUUUAAAAAGCACAUUGUCUUAAGUAAUAACUCUCCCAGCAUUUCUCUUUUUAAGGCUGCAUAAGCACUAUAAUGACACGAAGACAUGGCCUGUAGACCCUUCUAUUCAAUCAUGACUGAAGCUGCGACCAACCAGGUCGCUGGAUUUGUGACUGUUGUC